rnacentral:tRNA from 1 species
GCGGGUGUAACUCAGCGGUAGAGUUCUUGCUUGCCAAGCAAGGUGUCACCGGUUCGAAUCCGGUCACCCGCUCCA